rnacentral:rRNA from 1 species
AUUGAACGCUGGCGGCAUGCUUUACACAUGCAAGUCGAACGGUAACAGGGUGCUUGCACCGCUGACGAGUGGCGAACGGGUGAGUAACGCGUCGGAACGUGCCGAGUAGUGGGGGAUAACGCAGCGAAAGUUGUGCUAAUACCGCAUACGUACUGAGGUAGAAAGUGGGGGACCUUCGGGCCUCACGCUAUUCGAGCGGCCGACGUCUGAUUAGCUAGUAGGUGAGGUAAAGGCUCACCUAGGCGACGAUCAGUAGCGGGUCUGGGAGGAUGAUCCGCCACACGGGGACUGAGACACGGCCCAGACUCCUACGGGAGGCAGCAGUGGGGAAUUUUGGACAAUGGGCGAAAGCCCGAUCCAGCCAUGCCGCGUGUCUGAAGAAGGCCUUCGGGUUGUAAAGGACUUUUGUCAGGGAGGAAAUCCCUAGUGCUAAUAACACUGGGGGAUGACAGUACCUGAAGAAUAAGCACCGGCUAACUACGUGCCAGCAGCCGCCGUAA